GAUUUUUUUUUUCACAGUUUCAAUGGAAACUUUUAUUGUUUAUUUGAUGGAUCAUCAAUUUCACCUUCCUACCUACAAAUGGAAUUUCAUCUUGUUUCCAUGCUGAGUAGUAAAACGUUGACAAAGCUAAUCAGAAUAAGCUACAUCAAAAGAGAACUAAGCUAACACAGCUCACUAACAGGCAAAAUAUAAAUACAUGCACUCUAGAAUGUACAAUGGUUUAGCCACUAAGAAAUUCAAAUGGGAUCUUGAAGAAUGGAGGCAUAUCCAGGGUGCAGCAAAGAUGAGCAGAGAUGCUGUGCAACUGUUUAAGGGUUCCUGGCACUGCACCUCUUGGCCACUAGCUGAAUCUUGACAUGGAAGGUUUUGGCUAAUGCCAAGUGAAGAUGCAGAAAAUGCUAAGUUGACUAAGGGGCUGUAUACAGGUAGUAAAAGGCAG